ACGAUGAUGAUUAGGUGGAACGAGUAUUGUUGAAGCCAUUCCAAAAUCGUUCAGAAGUAAAGGUCCGAAGCGUGUGUCAGUGGAUUCGGAGGUUAAAUAGAGCCUUGAGUGUGAAGUGGAGACACUCUUGUUCCACGCCUCGCUCAGGACAUGUAUUGAGACGGGCUGUAAAUUGGAAACCAUCUGGAAGAGGAGGCAGACCAGGAUCUACGUGCAACGGGUGCUACGAGAGGGUGAUCCGAGCUGGGGAAACCUGUGAUGAGCAACAGUGACGAGCAACGGAAACGAUUGGCAAUGGGACAUCGGAGUUCAUCUGCAUAUAGCGGCGUUGGAGGAUAUGACAGUUGCCAUUGGUCCUACGCCCACACAAGGAGCCGUCUGGAGGUAAUUUGGCUGAUGUGAUCACUGCAUGACUUGGCAAUUACUUUUUCAACUGUUAUUUGUUUGGCAUUGUUCGGGUAUAGGAUAACAGUGCCAGAAAAGGCUCGAGAGAGAUUGCCUGCGAGGAAGAAGGACGGGGACGUCAGAGAAUAAAAAAUCAUGGAUAGUGUGCAGGAGUGUGUUAGAGAUGCUGUUCAGCGGAAGAUGUGAGGAUGGCUGGUGGAAGGGAGUGGACUCGUGGCGACAGACGUCACUUAACAAGACCUGCAAUUCGGUAACAGUUGACAGGUGUAGCUGCGUAGUAGUGUUGUACAGGUAUUAAGUGGUGGCUAUUGUGAUAGCAAUGAUAUGGGUUUGAAAGGUUUGUUGUUAAUUUAGUUUUCUGAUGUAUAGGUUUGGGUGACUUUGAAUAUUGAUUUGUUAUAUAAGUUUAAUUAUGCCUUCA